rnacentral:lncRNA from 1 species
UCAUUAGGAGGAGUCUCUAUAAUAUAAGCAUCAAUGGUACAAAUCGUAAGAUUUGAGAUUCCCUAGAAAAGUCGCACAUUUGCAAAUUCAUAAGACCAAAAAUCCAACAAAUCAAAAUAGGGGAUGCUCGGCUAAUUUGCAUCUCCUUAAAACCAUGUGAACGAGCAUCUUGAAAUCACCUCUCCACAAUAAGUUGUAAAAAAAUCUACCUCCAAACCAUUUCCAUUCCCGCAUUACAUGUCCCACAUCUCAACAUAGAGAGCAUCACAAGUUCUAAUUUUUCUGAUGUAGUCGGUCCUUCAACCAACAUACAUCUCAACAUAGAGAGCAUCACAAGUUCUAAUUUUUCUGAUGUAGUCGGUCCUUCAACCAACAUCCGUCAAAAUCUCAAAACAGACCUUCAAACCCUGCAAGAUCAAUUGAAUCUACAAGCUGGACAAAACCAUCAUGUAACAUCCUCCUACUCCCUUGAAUAAUAACAACAUAACCAGAACUCAUUCUCUUUGCAAGCACAAUGCAAAUCCAUAUUAAGCUUUUCACAAAUCUAUCAUGCGAAGGCUGCGACCCAAUGAAAGAAAGAAAGAAAGAAUGUGGUCCCUUAUUUCAUUAGUUCUCAUUACCAGAUCAUAAUCAUCUAUCAACCGCAAGACAUACUCUAAAGUAUAAACAACAUAAUAACCAACUACGGAAACAGAACCAGAUAAUUGCAAAAUACAACAAAGAAACUCAUUUAAAUAGUCUCAUAAGAACCAACAACAAAAGUUUGAGUCUCUCAACAACAUAAGGAACCAAAGUAGAAUCACUUACUGUAAAAAGAAAUAUUUUGGAAACUAAAAAAAUAGUCUCAU